CCCCUCCCCGAGCUGGGAAUAGCUGUUAAACGUUCUCAAGUUGGACUCACCAAUUUGCAGAAAGGUUAAUGGCUGGAGCACAGUUGCAUGUGUCCGGCCAGCAUCAUCAGAGAUAGAAUCCAGGUUUCCUGAUGCCCAGGGAGCUAUUUCUCCUGCAAACCUGUCCCCUGUACUGUAUCUAGUCUUUGUCAGUCCUGGAGCCGCCCCUUGAUUCCAGGGUCACAAGAAUGUGAGAUGUGAAGAGGUCUUCUUCAUCACACAGCUAACAAAACUCCUCUUUGGCGAAGCGGAACCUGAAAGGGUCCGUUAUAAUGGAGCUUUAUGACAAAAGUUUCAGACAAAUAGGUCGUUGCCACAAUCUCUUAAGGAAGGAAGGAAUGUUCCCUUCUGUUUUGAGUGAAGCAUAUGGAAAUCAAUGUUGAAGGAGAGUUUACUGCAGUGAACCUCACCGCUCCCCUGUAGACCUAGGGCAGGUGUGCUCUUACUCGCCUCUGCACUCCCAACACCAUCCAUAGUGUGUGUUCAACCCAUGUCUCAUGAAUGACUGCUUGAGUACUUUAUGAAACAUUGCCGCUCAUCAGCUAUGUGAGAAAACCCACUCACU